rnacentral:tRNA from 1 species
CAUUGAGAAACUUAUAGUAAGUGUUGGUCUCUUAAACCAUUUUAAGAUAAAGUAGCGACUAUCCUCAAUGG